AUCUUGGCUUCGGAUGAACGCUGGCGGUAUGCUUAACACCAGCAAGUUGAACGAACUUUUUGGAGUGAGUGGCGGGCGGGUGAGUUACGCGUGAGAAUUUAUCUCAAGGGCGGGGACCACCUCCGGAAACUGGUGGUUAUUCCCGAUUGAGCUGAAAAGUGAAAGAUUUAUUGCCUAGAGAGGAGCUCGCGUCCGAUUAGCUAGUUGGAAGGGUAAAAGCCUACCAAGGCGACGAUCGGUAGCUGGUCUGAGAGGAUGAGCAGCCACACUGGGACUGAGACACGGCCCAGACUCCUACGGGAGGCAGCAGUGGGGAAUUUUCCGCAAUGGGCGAAAGCCUGACGGAGCAAUACCGCGUGAGGGAAGAAGGCUUUUGGGUUGUAAACCUCUUUUGUCAGGGAAGAAAAAAUGACGGUACCUGAAGAAAAAGCAUCGGCUAACUCCGUGCCAGCAGCCGCGGUAAUACGGAGGAUGCAAGCGUUAUCCGGAAUCAUUGGGCGUAAAGGGUCCGCAGGUGGCGAAUAAAGUCUGCUGUUAAAGACCGGGGCUUAACUCCGGAAAGGCAGUGGAAACUGAUGAGCUAGAGUACGGUAGGGGUAGAGGGAAUUCCCAGUGUAGCGGUGAAAUGCGUAGAUAUUGGGAAGAACACCGGUGGCGAAAGCGCUCUACUAGGCCGAAACUGACACUGAGGGACGAAAGCUAGGGUAGCGAAAGGGAUUAGAUACCCCUGUAGUCUUAGCUGUAAACGAUGGAUACUAGGUGUAGCUUGUAUCGACCCGAGCUGUGCCGAAGCUAACGCGAUAAGUAUCCCGCCUGGGGAGUACGCACGCAAGUGUGAAACUCAAAGGAAUUGACGGGGGCCCGCACAAGCGGUGGAGUAUGUGGUUUAAUUCGAUGCAACGCGAAAAACCUUACCAGGGCUUGACAUGUCGCGAAUCUAGCGGAAACGUUAGAGUGCCUUAGUGGAAUGCGAACACAGGUGGUGCAUGGCUGUCGUCAGCUCGUGUCGUGAGAUGUUGGGUUAAGUCCCGCAACGAGCGCAACCCUCGUCCUUAGUUGCCAAUAUUAAGUUAGGCACUCUAGGGAGACUGCCGGGGACAACUCGGAGGAAGGUGGGGAUGACGUCAAGUCAGCAUGCCCCUUACGUCCUGGGCGACACACGUACUACAAUGGUUGGGACAAAGGGCAGCAAGCUCGCGAGAGUAAGCGAAUCUCAUCAAACCCAGCCAAAGUUCAGAUUGCAGGCUGCAACUCGCCUGCAUGAAGUAGGAAUCGCUAGUAAUCGCAGGUCAGCAUACUGCGGUGAAUUCGUUCCCGGGCCUUGUACACACCGCCCGUCACACCAUGGAAGCUGGCUACGCCCGAAGUCGUUACCCUAACCCGUUAUUGGGAGGGGGAUGCCGAAGGUAGAGCUAGUGACUGGGGUGAAGUCGUAACA
rnacentral:rRNA from 1 species